rnacentral:rRNA from 1 species
UACAUAGGGGGCAAGCGUUAUCCGGAUUUAUUGGGCGUAAAGAGUGCGUAGGCGGUUCGUGAGGUCAGUCGUAAAAGAUCAGGGCUUAACCCUGUAGGGCGAUUGAAACCGGCGGACUUGAAUAUGGUAGAGGCUAGUGGAAUUCCAUGUGUAGCGGUGGAAUGCGUAGAUAUAUGGAGGAACACCAAUGGCGAAGGCAGCUAGCUGGGCCAGAAUUGACGCUGAGGCACGAAAGCGUGGGGAGCAAACAGG